ensembl:lncRNA
GGGGGGGGGGAAAGCAAGGAAGUGGCAGUGAAUCACCUGCAACGAGAGCCAUGACGCAUGAGAGGGCGGGGCGAGGACAGGUAGCGGCCAGCUCGCCGACUUGUUGCCAAGUGUUUCAACGAAGCGUACACCUCCUUUCCCCCGUACUGCUGUACACUGUGGAAUAAAGGACCAGUCCCCCCCCCACUUAGCAAUUUACGUUGGUUGUACAGCCAUAUUAUUGCGAGACCUGUUUGUGCGUUAGGGUGUGCGCGAUACACCGGGUCCGUCUUUGGGUGUCUGGUUCCGGGCUGGCUUAACCCAACCCUGUCAGUUUCCUUUUUUUGGGGGGUUGUUUGUUGCACUGGACCUGUUGUGUAAUGCUUAUAAAAGAUUUAAAGGGCCACCAACAGAAUCGGGAUUGAACUGUGUAGCACCCUGCGAAACCCUCUAGGGGUCCACAGCGCUCCUUAUUUACAGACAGAUAUAUAAAAUAUAGAAGCAACAGUAAAUUGCUGAGGAAGCAAACUGCUGUGAGACAACACACCAUGUUUACAGCCGUCAUGCUCAACACAUCUAGAAAAUGCACAACAUGAAUCAACUUUCAUGAAGCUGGAAUAUUUCUAUCGCUGAUGCUUCAUGUAUGGAGCCUGGUACACUAACCAACCCCCAUAGUGGUGCAGUGGAAAGCAGCUCCAGCGCUGAUACUAAGAAUCAUCUUCUUUACGACCGGCUUAUAAAAAAUAAAAUUAAGAUAGGUGAAAAAAAGAGGCAGCAAUAGUACAGUAUGUUAUCACAUCAGCACAUUCAGAGGAGAGGGAGCGAGAGAGACGCUGGGGGCUGCAAUGCAGCCACACGCACACAGCAUCAGCUUAGAAAGGUUUUGGAUGUUGGACUUCUUGUAAGGAGAACGAGAGCAUCUCUCUUGUCGAGGGAUUUUUAAAUCGCUCCUCGUCACAGCUACCAGCGAGCGUCACUUAUUAAGGCUACACAGACAAUACUGAUGGGAAAAUGAUGAGUAUCCCAGGCUCUAUGCAGGCAAUUAAUAUUUUAGCUACUAUCUCUUAAGAGAACUAUGUGAACUUACUAAAUCGAAAUGCCCUUAUGUUGUUUUCCUCUUGGAAUGGGAUGGAAAAUUAGGGGAAGCGACAGUUCCUGUAAGACCGAGGUCUGAGACGGGCCCAAUGCAUCACAAGAGGCAGCAGGCCUGGAUAGAAAUGUCUGCAUCAGCUUGUGUUUUUCUGGAUGCCUGUGGGAUCAUGAUGAUGUUAUUUGAUCCCAUAGCCACUUGACAGCUGAGCCAAAUGUUGACAACUGAUUUAAACUGCUCUGUGUGAGCUCCUGACAUCACUCAUUAGCUUCCCAAACUCGUCUGGGAAACUAAUGCCACAAUCUAAGAAUAACCCCCUGGUUAAUCUGUUUUUAUUAUCAUUAAAUAUACUUUAACAGCUCAACACUUAUAAAACAGACGUGGCACUCAUGUAUCCAUGGAAAAGUGUUCCUGCAACCACAACGUCAUCGUAUGACGGAACAGUGCGUUUUAACCAAUCAGAUGUUCGAACCUCAGCCGCCCGCUCGCAAUAAGCCAUUAAAGUAUUUGCUGUGCAGCUCGCGGAGCUCCUCCCACCCAAUGAGAAUCCAGCUUUGGCACGAUAGCGGCCUGUGAUGCAGCAGCUCCAGGAAGUGCAGCGCAUGUGAACUGGAUGGAAGCCAAAGCGGAGCCACCAAGAGAGAGCAGAGUAAACAAGUUCUCUCUCUCUCUCUCUCUCUCUCUCUCUCUCUCUCUCUCUCUCUCUCUCUCUCUCUCUCUCUCUCUCUCUCUCUCUCUCUCUCUCUCUCUCUCUCUCUCUCUCUCUCUCUCUCUCUCUCUCUCUCUCUCUCUCCCCCAUCUCUCUGAUCCUGAGCCGUGACGUUUAGCCCCCUUCUCUGGCUCGGUACCAGCGGUGUACUGGCUGAAGAGACGUCCAGCCCCCGAAGAAAAAAAAAGAAAAAAAAAGACUGCGUCACCAUCUCCGUCCCUCCCAACUACGCAGAAACAAAUGUAUUGACAAUGGUUUUGCCAAAUCCCAGUGGCCCUGGAGUGGGGAGGUGACGGGGACGGGGGGGGGCGAGAGGGUGUUGGUGCCACUAAACACAGACACCGAGCUGAUCCGUUGUCAGCUUACAGCUGGAUCCCAAUCGGUCUCUGAGCAUGGAGAAGCAGGCAUGUAUGGAGGCACUCUUUUCCUUUAACAGCAGUCAACAGUGUGAGCAGACACACACACACGCAGUGACGUAAAUGCGGUUACCCUUUUGGCCGAAGUCAAAGCACCAACUUAUCCUGUUGUUAUAUCCUGUUAAAGGCUACCGUAAUGUCCGCCCGGCUGCAUCUGCGCACACCCCCGUCAAAUGGUGUAUUAGACGUCGAAUACGGUUUCAUAAUGAUAGGUCAGACGGCACGAUGCACGAUUGUAUUCACCAAUGGAAUCAUUCGUAUUCCUUAAGGUGAUGUAAAGAAGAAAUGUUUGAAUGCCUCUAAUCAGUCUCAGCAAAACAUUCCACACCGAGCUGCGUUGUGAUAUUGAGAACCCUCCAGAAUAUUCUUAUGUUAACCCCUUUGUCGCACCUCUGCCCACCCAGACCACACACACACACACGCACGCGCACACAUCUUACCAAGACCUAGAGAAACUGUGUCACAUCUUCAGCAUCCAUGUUGAAACUCCCGAUACCACCUCAAAGAACCUAGAAAAAACAACAGACAAACACACACACCGCGCACACACACAUGCACACACCCAGACGGGCAGAUGAAAACAAAACUAGGAAGGAGGAAGAGGAGGAGGAAGUCGAGGUUGUCCGAAACCACUGUGGCGAUUUCGGUUGAAAAAAGAAAACUCGAUGACUGUGGGCUCCUCGGUUAUCUCAGCUUCCGUUUCUCCUGACAUGAAAAAGUGACGUAGCAACUAAUCCAAAAUCUCUCUCUGCCUCUCUCUUUACCGCUCUCUGUCUCUCUCCCCGUCUCGCUCUCUCUCUCCCUCCCUCCCUCUCUGCUGUCCUCUCAAACACACGCACUCUCCAUUUUUCAUCUUGUUGCAACAGAACUGCCUUUAGUCUGCUACUAGAAGCUAACACACACACACACACAAAGCAGAACCCGCACAAAUGCAUGUGUAUGUGCGCAUGUCUGCAUGUACACGCACACACACACACGCAGGCUAUUCCUCGUCCACCGACUGUGACGCAGCACUUAAUUCUCUGUGCUUUCGCACCACGGUUGUGGCUCUCACGACGACAACUUCUUCACCAAGAUGGAACACACAGGAGCUAGCUAGCCCGCACGCACGGCAAGUGAGCAUGAGCAGACUGCAGGUAAAAAGGGACCCUACCACCGUGGCUUCCUGUCCCCAACUGUGUGACGCUGCUGUGUCCCCAUUUGCCCCCCACCCCCUGUCCCCUUGUAUUUGGGUCCCUCCCCCCCCUCACUCUCUGGCGCACUCCUCUCGGCUAGAGACGCACUGGCUCGUCUGCCCGUGAGGCUGAGCUGACGGAGCCUCCUCGAUCACCUGACAGCCAACUGCUUUUAAAGGCACAUCGCCCCGGUGGAUCGGUUGCAUAAGCACCACCGGGCGGCGUUCUAAUGAGGGAUGCCACUUGUCUCGCCGUCCGCAACAAGGGCGAUAAGCACGAGGUGCUCCGUUUAGGUCCUAACGUGACGCUUUCCUAAUGCCCACAUGUAGGUUGGCAGUUUUACCACGAAGAGGCCUACCGCAAAUGUACUUCCUCUUUCCGUUCGUGGUGCUUCGCGCUGUAGCUCUGCUCAAAAGAAUGCCGCUUGAUCCCGUUUCUGUUCCAAAUAAUACAUCCAGUUAACCCAAUAAUGAAUCUUGUGGAAUGACAAGAAGAUUAAAAGAAGACAUUUGUUCUACCUAGUGUGUUGUAUUGAAGGUUCACCAGGAAUGUAGCGGUUCCUUUAAAAAAAGAAGACUGUCUUAUAAAUAGUCUGGUUUGGUUCAGUCAAACAUUGGCAGAGUGUAUUUUAAGACCUGGAGUCUUUGCUUCUUAUCUGAUUGUCCACAUACCCUGAUUGGAUGAUGCAUCAUGUGUCAUGUAAAUCCGGCUGAAGGGGCUGUGGGGAGAUGGGAGGAAAACACCUUUUCUGUUCCUGAGUUAGCAAAAAGGUAAACAAAGUUAGUGAUGACUCACCAACACAUCUAGAUCUUCAUCUGGCUUUUCAAAUGGCUGUAAAUGUUCUUCCUUCUAGCACCUGAAACGUGUUAUGUUCUACUUCCCCACUGGAGCCCACGGCUUCAUUUCACAGGACUGAGGAGAAAGGAGAGCAUCGGCAAAAGAAUCAGCUUUCACCCUUGAGCUAUAUGGGAAAUUAAGCCCUCAGAAGACUGCGGAUGGGUCGGCACGUGUUCCAGCACUGCAUGACAAAAAAGAAGAGCUUCAUCCCCGUCAGGUCCUGAGGAUAUCACAGGCGUUAUUUCAUGACAAACAUAUUACAGUGAUUCAAAUGUUUCCUUUAGGCUUCAGAUUAGUAGUUUCUGGCAUCACAGUGCUGUAUGGAGUCAGAUAAAUUAAAUGUGUUCAGAUUUAAAUGUGACAUUUUCAUGUUCCCUCUGUCGGGUUGCAUUAAUAAAGACUUUCCAAUAACUUCAUGCACGGUAAAAGAUCCAAGCCUUAAGAAAUACUCCCCCCCUGUGAUGGGUAGCGGUGUUGCAUGUUGGAGGGUUUGUUUACAUCAGGAAUAAAAAGUGCGUAUGACAUAGAAACCUCUGGAUGGAUGGAGCCGAGUCCAGGUAUCGGCCCAUGAAGCACACGCACUUAAGCUUUACAAACUGUACAAAACAGGGGGAAGAAAAAUCAACCAGAGCGGAUUUUCUUUAAACUAAGCUAUUUGAAGGCAAUCUAUUUCUGACAAUGCACGAUGGGAAAAACAAUCUCAGAUGAUUUUAACUUUAGGUCCAUAGCCAACAAAAUACUGUUGAAUUAAGUCCUUACUUAUUUUACAUUUCUUCACUAAUGUUACGGUUUGAAUACAGUAUGCUUGGCUGGGAAGGGUAUUAACCAGAUACAGCAUGACGCACUCUGAAAGAUGCAAUAGUGACACAAUCAUUUAAAUUUCUUGAAAAGGUAACAACAACAAAAAAUGUUUCCUUACAAAUGCUUCCUUUUUUUAAAAACUGAAUACUAGUUAAAACGAAUUUCCCUCCCUCUACAACGUAUUCUACGAACUUAUACUGCAACUUACAAUGUUAACCUUCAAAGGGAUAUAACAAGUUUAAUAAACUGCAUUCAAAUAUACAAUCAAAUCAAAUAAUAGACAAGACAACAGCUACAACAUAAGCGAAAUGAUUGCGCAGUUCUGCGUGGAUGUAGAGACCACUCACUCCUGAGGUAAAUUGAAGUGCGCAACAUCCUCCUGCAGGAACACCUCUCCAUCCCACCCUCCUCCGCUGCCCCGGCGCUGGGAAAUCAGGCAUAAAUCAGCUCAGUCAUGUUUUAUAAGGAAACAGCUGUGAUCAAAUAUCCUGCUUAUUUCCGGAUGACGUCGGAAACAACGCUGGGAAUUGCGCACUAGCCUAGAUCGCGACAAUAAAGUAAAAAAAAAAAAAAAACAAUUAUCGAUGUCCUUAAAUAAAAUAAAAAAAGAACAAAACAACCUUGUAAUAGUUUUAAACAAAAUAAUAAUUAAAUCAGCCGAGUCCCUAAAAACAACCGACCGACCACCCUUGUAACCUGUAUCCAUAUAAAUGACGUUAGACUGUAUUUCAAGUACACUUGGAAGUAAAACAGUGUCUCUCGGCAGGGUCGACGGCCUACCGCGUCUUUCGCAACACGUCCGGUCUCUUUGCCACCUCGUCACCGCUGCCAUUACCUCCCACCGAGCCACCAGUUAUUAUGAAAUCCACCGUGCUGCCUCGCUUUAAUGGAAAAAACAAAAACCCUGUCCAUCGACAUUUU